AUACGUAGGGAGCGAGCGUUGUCCGGAUUUACUGGGUGUAAAGGGUGCGUAGGCGGCUCUGCAAGUCAGGUGUGAAAACCCUCGGCUUAACUGAUGGACUGCAUUUGAAACUGUGGGGCUUGAGUGGAGUAGAGGCAGACGGAAUUCCCGGUGUAGCGGUGAAAUGCGUAGAGAUCGGGAAGAACACCAGUGGCGAAGGCGGUCUGCUGGGCUCUAACUGACGCUGAGGCACGAAAGCAGGGGGAGCAAACAGGAUGAGAUACCCUGGUAGUCCAUGCCGUAAACGAGGAUUACUAGGUGUGGGGAGUCUGACCCUCUCCGUGCCGGAGUUAACACAAUAAGUAAUCCACCUGGGAAGUACGACCGCAAGGUUGAA
rnacentral:rRNA from 1 species